rnacentral:rRNA from 1 species
AGUGAACGCUGGCGGUAGGCCUAACACAUGCAAGUCGAACGGCAGCACAGUAAGAGCUUGCUCUUACGGGUGGCGAGUGGCGGACGGGUGAGGAAUACAUCGGAAUCUACUUUUUCGUGGGGGAUAACGUAGGGAAACUUACGCUAAUACCGCAUACGACCUACGGGUGAAAGCAGGGGAUCUUCGGACCUUGCGCGAUUGAAUGAGCCGAUGUCGGAUUAGCUAGUUGGCGGGGUAAAGGCCCACCAAGGCGACGAUCCGUAGCUGGUCUGAGAGGAUGAUCGGCCACACUGGAACUGAGACACGGUCAAGACUCCUAAGGGAGGCAGCAGUGGGGAAUAUUGGACAAUGGGGGCAAGCCUGAUCCAGCCAUACCGCGUGGGUGAAGAAGGCGUUCGGGUUGUAAAGCCCUUUUGUUGGGAAAGAAAAGCAGCAGGUUAAUACCCCGCUGUUCUGACGGUACCCAAAGAAUAAGCACCGGCUAACUUCGUG